GACUCCUACGGGAGGCAGCAGUGGGGAAUAUUGGACAAUGGGCGAAAGCCUGAUCCAGCCAUGCCGCGUGUGUGAAGAAGGUCUUCGGAUUGUAAAGCACUUUAAGUUGGGAGGAAGGGCAGUAAGUUA
rnacentral:rRNA from 1 species